GUACGCUGGCGGCACGCCUAACACAUGCAAGUCGAACGAAGUAGCAAUACUUAGUGGCAGACGGGUGAGUAACAUGUGGGUAUCUUCCCUUUGGCCUGGAAUAACACGAGGAAACUUGUGCUAAUACCAGAUAAGUCUUCACGGAGAAAGCUUUAUGCACCAUUGGAUGAGCCUGCACUUGAUUAGUUUGUUGGUGGGGUAAUGGCCUACCAAGACUUUGAUCAAUAGCUGAUUUGAGAGGAUGAUCAGCCACAUUGGGACUGAGACACGGCCCAAACUCCUACGGGAGGCAGCAGUGGGGAAUCUUGCACAAUGGAGGAAACUCUGAUGCAGCGAUGCCGCGUGAGUGAAGAAGGCCCUUGGGUUGUAAAGCUCUUUCGUCGGGGAAGAAAAUGACUGUACCCGAAUAAGAAGGUCCGGCUA
rnacentral:rRNA from 1 species